rnacentral:rRNA from 1 species
CUCCAGUAGGGGAUAACACUUCGAAAGGGGUGCUAAUACCGUGUACGGUCCCGACCGUGUCUGCGGAUGGGACGAAAGGUGGCCUCUCUAUAGAAGCUGCCGCUGGGGGAUGGGCUCGCGUCCCAUUAGCUAGUUGGUAGGGUAACGGCCUACCAAGGCAACUAUGGGUAGCUGGUCUGAGAGGACGAUCAGCCACACUGGAACUGAGACACGGUCCAGACUCCUACGGGAGGCAGCAGUGGGGAAUAUUGCACAAUGGGGGAAACCCUGAUGCAGCAACGCCGCGUGCGGGAUGAAGGCUUUCGGGUCGUAAACCGCUGUCAGGGGGGAAGAAAUCGGUCCGGUGAAUAGCCGGAGUGGAUGACGGUACCCCCAGAGGAAGCCCCGGCUAACUCCGUGCCAGCAGCCGCGGUAAGACGGAGGGGGCGAGCGUUGUUCGGAAUUAUUGGGCGUAAAGCGCUCGUAGGCGGUCGAGUAAGUCGGACGUGAAAGCCCAGGGCUCAACCCUGGAAGUGCGCUCGAUACUGCACGACUUGAGUACGGGAGAGGAGAGUGGAAUUCCCAGUGUAGUGGUGAAAUGCGUAGAUAUUGGGAGGAACACCAGUGGCGAAGGCGGCUCU